rnacentral:miRNA from 1 species
UGACAGAGAAGAGUGAGCACUUCCAGGGCUGCGCUCAUUUGUUGAAAUAUCUCAGCUGAUACUCUGU